AACGAACGCUGGCGGCAGGCUCAACACAUGCAAGUCGAGCGCCCCGCAAGGGGAGCGGCAGACGGGUGAGUAACGCGUGGGAAUCUACCCAUCCCUACGGAAUAACGCCUGGAAACUGGUGCUAAUACCGUAUACGCCCUAGGGGGGAAAGAUUUAUCGGGGAUGGAUGAGCCCGCGUUGGAUUAGCUAGUUGGUGGGGUAAAGGCCUACCAAGGCGACGAUCCAUAGCUGGUCUGAGAGGAUGAUCAGCCACAUUGGGACUGAGACACGGCCCAAACUCCUACGGGAGGCAGCAGUGGGGAAUAUUGGACAAUGGGCGCAAGCCUGAUCCAGCCAUGCCGCGUGAGUGAUGAAGGCCCUAGGGUUGUAAAGCUCUUUCACCGAUGAAGAUAAUGACGGUAGUCGGAGAAGAAGCCCCGGCUAACUUCGUGCCAGCAGCCGCCGUAAGAC
rnacentral:rRNA from 1 species